rnacentral:lncRNA from 1 species
AUGUUCUUCAGUUCGUAGGCAAGGGUUAGGCUUCAUGGCAACGUCAACCAGUUAGAGACAAGGUUCAUAACCAGAGGAGUUGCGGUGCUAAGAUUGCAAGAUUCGGGUCUUUCGAUUUGAAGCCGGAUCGGUGUGUUGUGCUGGGACUAAAACGAUAGUUAUCAUCUACCUGAUGGAAGUUUGGGAAUCAUGUCCCUAUCAAGUGGUAUUCAAAGCUAAGGUAUACAGUCAAGUUUGCUUUUAUCCUCUACUUUUGAGUGUUUCACAUUCGUCCUAUAGACCAAUGCCAUACUUGUUUUCCUGCCCUAGAAACUUCCAUGUGAGAGCCUUUUGCAUAAUUCAGUUCCACAAUUCAUAGUUUUGAGUUUGUGUCUUGUUCGAUGUCUUGUUGCUAGUUAGGUUGUGUUAGGUCUAGUUUGUGUGUUUAUUCCCAUUGUUUCCAUCAAUCCCUAGCCGCCGUGACUAGUUUUGCGUGCAUUGUUCCCAUUUUACCCUCUAAUUUGUAGUUAGAUCUUAAAAUUGGUCUAGUUUUCGCAUACGAACUCCGUUUUCGACGUUCUUUAUAUCAAAAUCGAGCAACAAAAAAUUUCAGAGUCGUCUCUCCCCUGUUUUGCUGGGUUCAAAGAAUUUUAUUUUGUCCACAAACUAGUCACAAGAUUGUCUUUUCAUGACCACAAGCUUGUUGUCAAUUUUUAACACAUCUUCUAAAUUUUCCAUGGGCCACGUCUUUCACCUGAUUAAGCUCAAAUUUAUUGUGGUUCAUUCUUGUGUGCUCCUAAGUCAAGAAAAAAUAUCAGAAAAAAUAAAAAGAAAAAGUCAAAAUUUCCCAAAAACAGCGAUAGCCCAAAAAUUAAGAAAAAAAGAAAGAGGCAAAAGAGGAACAAUAUCUAUAUGAGCACAUAAGGAAGGUCUAGUUGAGCAGUGUUCAAAGGUCCUAAUAUGACUAUAGAGGAGAUGAACGUUGACGGUUCUUAAGUAUCAAUUUGAAUUAUCAAAUAAACAAGAGAAUGGACCAAUAUGCAACCAUCACCUAGAAUUAGGGUUUGAUCUGACAGAAUUCCACGAGUUUUGUUGUUUAUCUAUUUCUGCAGGGGGUUAUCAGGAAAUAAGGAAGAAAGGCCCACAUGUCGGGAUUACAUAGAGAUAUCAACGCACCGCGCAAUUUUACUUCAUCUAGAAGACUCCAGAAGCCACGAGACCCAAGCGGAGGCAAAACUGGGCCAGGCCCAGGGCGCCCGCCCUAGAAGCCUAGGCGCCCGCCCCCCUGCUGGAGCCAAAUCAGGACUCUUUCGCUCGGGAUAUUCCACCGACCUAUUGAAUCAAGAAAAACAUAGUACCACCUCGCCUAUCGACCCAAAAACGCAUAGAAGGGGAGGACUAUAUAAGCAAGGCCCCCCUAGCCCCUGGAGAAGACAUGAAGAAAUUAUCAUAGAGACUGAGGGGUGCCCUCGAAGAAAAACCUCUUCUCUAAUUAAUAUUUCUUUUUAGGCUUAGCAAUCAAUGUAAGGUAGAAAUAGAUCUUCUAGUUUCUACUAGAUUGAGAGAGAUAGAGUGGAGGUGUAGAGUGGAGGAUGCCCGGCCUGUCGGUGUCUACUCCAAGCUUGUACCUGCGGGAUCAAGUUCUCCUAACCCGAAGCUUGCUCCUAGGAUUCUUCAGUAAUUCGACUUCUAAAUUCUAGUAAGUUCUUGUUUUAUUUUUCUUAUGGUUUAUGAGUUUACUUUAAUCUCUUCGCGUAGAGUUUAGAGUAAUCAUUGCUGGCGUAAACGUGGUGUUUAGGCUGGGGUACUCAUAAAUAUUCCCUGACUAGCU